GUUCUUCAGUUUACCUCAGCUGAACUCAACUAUUCGCCUGUGUCGCGUCUCGUCCAACACUGCACUGUCGUGACUUGAUCAUUCAAUGGUUCAGCCAUUCCUUGAUCGACCUGACACCAACAUUAGGCCUACUCGAUGUGUAUGAAGCAAGCUGCCCCUGCAUAAAGUGAGAGAAGAAGCCGCCACUGAAAAGCUUUUUGGACUGUCAUUUGAAGGACACAAAUGAAAGGACAGGAAUUCUGCUCUGUGGCGUUGGCCUCACUAUUUAUUCAAGAAGCCCUCGGACACCACCAGAAUGUAUGAAAAUUGUAAACAGUAGGCACAGUCAUUCCUUGAUCGACCUGGCAUCAACAUCGCUCGGUGUGUAUGAAGCUGCAAGUGAGAGAAGAAGCCGCCACUGAACACCUUUUUGGACUGUCAUGACUCAAAUGAAAGGACAGGACUUCUACUCUGCUGGGUCGGCCUCACUACAUAUUCAAGAAGCCCUCGGACGCCAUCAGAAUGUAUUAAUGUGAAGAGGCAACAAGGGAGAGAUGAACGCUAUCAAAAAUGUGGAGAUGGAUCUGGCAGCGGACCGCUUUGGCACACACCCAACAAGAAACAAAACAAUAAAGAAUACUAAAAUGCAUGAUUUGUAAGCAGCUCAUUUUUAAAAAACAUUGUUUGCUCUUGCUUGAAGGUGCACUGUGUAAAAUUGUGGCCAGAGUAGGUAUUGCAUCUAUGGUGCUCAUUGAAACUGUGCUGUCUACUGCUAAUUUAGAUUUUUGCAUGAAUACCAAAGUGUAGUGAGUUUUGCAGCUAAAAAUGUCUAUUUCUGGAAAUUCAAAAUAGCGGACCAUGGAGAAGAUCCCUCUUUUCAUGUAUGAAAAAUGCAAAUUUCCCAGUCAUGUUGAAUACUUUGGUGGUGGUAAAUAUCUGUUAAAAAGUUAACAUUUGUGAAUGGGCAUAAUGAAUUCUGGAAAUGAACAACUAAAAAUAUUCCACGGUCCACCUUUAAAUACAAAUCCGGAUCAGGCCCAGAUAAGGCCCAGAUAAGAUCCGGAUAUGGGCCAGAUGAGCCCCAACUGUGUAUUACGGAUCAGGCCCAGAUCAUGGUCAGAUGCGUAUUACGGACCUGGGCCAGAUCCAGCCCAGGUCGGCCACAAAUUCCAAACAUGUGGAUUGGACCUGGGCCAGAUCCAUUCCGGAUCCAUAAUCCGGACCUGUUCCAGCUCAGCGCCAUUGUAAAAUAAGAAACCGGGCCAGACCAGGAUUGCGGACCUGGCCCAAGUGCCUGCCAACAUCUGUCACAGAUCUGGGCCAGACCCAUU